UGACAGCUACGUGGGUGACAGUGCUGAACUAGACCCCAGACCCCAGCUGUCACUUGCCCCUUGUGCUGGGACACCCAUCCCUCAUUGGAAUGAAUCAGUUAGAAGUGGGAGCACGUUUCUGUGCCCGUGGCUAUAGGGUUAAGAGGUUAUUUAUUUCACUCAUCUCUGGGUCAGUAGUUUUGGUCAGCAGAAAGGCUGAUCAGUAUCUCUGAGCACCAGCCUAAAUCCCAGCAGAUCACAGUAUGAAGCGCCUAAAUGGUCACAGUGGCUUACAUCACAAUGGGGUGGCCAGUAUGAAAGUCCAGACCACUGUUUAGGCCUAGCCUUACUUCUCCUGAGGGUAGGCAGUGGCUGGCUGGGUUUCUUUGUAUAGAGCUAGAAAAAGACGGGUGUUUUUCUUUCUUUCUUUCUGUCACGCUGAAUUCUUCCGCAGGGAAAUUAAUUUGUGUCUGUGGCAAAGGUAGUCAACAAUUCUCUCCUUUUGCAGGUCCCAGUUUGUUAAGGAAAUCGAAGGGUGUGAUCAACAGCUCGUGCACUGCCGUGCUGCGAACCCAGAGUUCAGGCACUGACGUGGCGCUUCUGAUGGGAGCAUGGACUCAGGUUACUUAGAAAUUCCAGGACCAGCUGCACUGCAUCCAUAGGCAGGUGGAGGGCCAUCCCCAUCACCAGCUCUACCAGUGCCACCUCUACUGACAGGAAUUGCUGCUUCUCCUCCUCCAACUCCUUUACCUCUACUAAACGGUGUAUACCAUAUCCACCACCUUUGUUUGGGGAUCUCCUGGUUGCAGAAAUAAAUACAUAAACCUGACCUCCAUGAAAUGACUCUUAAACUGCAUGACUUGAUUCUUCAUGAAGAGCAUCAAAUGGUCAAAGGCAAAACUCUGAUUUUAAAUGUUUUUGACAUUGUCUAGUCGCAGGUUGUCAUUAACAUGCAAUAACUGCAUAGAUGAGUACAAGUAUAAUUUUAGAGACUAUGACUGUUGAUGUUUACUUUCCUUUGUGAGCUCACCGUCUUACAUUCCUCUUUCAGUACAGUCUCAACAUGGUUAGCCUUUGGUAUCCAUGGCUAACUGGUUCCAGGACCACCUCUGUGGCUACCAUAAUCUGCAGAUGCUCACAUCCUUUAGUUGGCCCUUUGUUUCCACAGGUUCCCUAUUUGUGGAUGUGGAACCCAUGGACAAGGAGGGCUGAUGGUAAUCUAGUGUGUCCCCCUGGAAGCUGUCAGUUACUUAAAGUGUCACGAUGUGGUUCCUUAUGGGACUGCUAGAUGUCACGAGGAUGAAUCCUCAGACAAUCCUGCUAGAUUCUCAGUCACCAAAAAAUGCCUUAUAGGUGGAAGGAGCGAGUAUCCCUUCUUUUUAGAACUAAACAGAUUUCAGUCUCUCACUUAUUGUCAAACAGUUUGUUCAGACUGUAUAUAUAAAAAUCUUCCUAAUUUUAAGCCAAAUUAAAAAUGUUAGCCAAUCCUGGUCACUCUGAAGUCACCCUUAGACCGUCCCUACCUAAGAAAUUCCUCUUAGGUCCCUUUCACCUAGGAAAUGUACCACUAUCCUCUUAAAAUCUGAACAACUCUAAUAAUAAAAGUCAGAUGCAUCAACUUAAAGUACAGAGUGUUUCAGGUAUCAGGAGGAAUUCACCAAAGAACCUGAAGAAUGCCAAGAUGCCAGGGAAGCUCAAGAGGCCCAUGUUUGGUACCAAGCACUGGCUCGAAGUAGAUUUUAGGUCUCUGAUAUCCUGCUGACUAGGCCAAGCAAUGCCAACAUAAAUAAUAAAAACAAACAAACAAACAAAAAACAAAAAAAACCCAAUCUAUACUAGGGAAUAGAAAAGGAUUUUGAGCUCAGCUGAGGAAUAACCCAAGGAAUAACCCAGGAACACAGCCUCCUCCAAGGAAGAAAGCCCUCCAGAGAAGCAUGGUCUUCAGCACGAUUUUCUAUCUUGUCACAAUAAAGAACAUACAUCAAACAUUACAGAGGUACAUUCCUAGAAGGUUUCAACAGAGAUGUAGUUACAGAUGAACAUGUACACAGUGAGGUAGCAUGACCUUGGAAUCUGGGAAGGGAAAUUCACCUUUGAAAAAAUACUAGUAUUGGCAUGAUAGGAAGAGAGGUAUCACUCCUCAUUUUCAAAGUGAACAUACUUUAAUGGUUAAAGCUGAUAAACAGUGUAUGUUUGACAACCCAUAAGUUAGGUUGCUCUACUUCACAUGAAGUUCAAGACAAGUCAUGUAUAAGCCAGAAUGGCUCCCCCAUACCUGAAUAUGAAAAAAAAAUCUUUCCAUUUUUUUUUUUUUUUUUUUUAUGGUUGCACCAUAGCAUAUGGAAGUUCCCGGACCAGCGAUUGAAUCAACUGCAGCUUCAACCUACACCAAAGCUGCAGCAACGCUGGAUCAUUUAACCCACUGUGCCAGCCGGAACGAAUACACGCCUCUGCAGUAACCCAAGACACUGCAGUCGAAUUCUUAACCCGCUGCACCACAGUGGGAAAUCCUGUCGAUUCCUAUUUUAUUGAGUCUUGUCAUGGGUUUUUUUUUUCCUUUAUUCCAUUUAUGUGUAUAUUACAUAGACUAAUUUCCUAAUGUUCAUCCACCAUUACAUUCCCGAAAUUAAUCUGACUUGAUCCUGAUAAUACAUUAUCAGCUUAGGUUUUUCAGUAUUUUGUUGACAAGUUACAUGGGUAUAGUCAAACAAGAUACUGAUUUGUAGUUUUCUUGUGAUAUUUUUGCCUGGCUCUGGUAUGAGGAUAAUACUGAACACAGAGAAUAAGAAAGGAUGCUGUGAUAGUUAUGUGUCAACACGGCUAAGCCAUGAUACAGUGGGUUAAGAAUCCGACUACAGCAGCUCAGAUCUCUGUGGAGGCGUGGGUUUGAUACCCAGCCAACAAAGUGGGUUAAAGGCUCUAGCAUUUUCACAGCUAUACUGUAGGUCGCAGCCGUGGCUCAGUUUCAAUCCCUAGCCGGGGAACUUCAUUCUGCUGUGGGUAAAGCCAUAAAAUUAAAAAAAAAAAAACAAAACACUAAAUGUGAAGCGAAGGUAUAUUUUAGAUAAGAUUAACAAUUAAUUAAAGUACAGAAUACUAUCUAAAAUGUAAGUGGGCUUCAUGCAAUCAAUUGACAACCUUAACAGAAAAACGGGCACCAAAGGGAGAAGAAAUUUUACUUCCCACUGACUUACAACUGCAGCCACAUGAACUUUUUCAGAUUUCCAUCAUACGAGCCUGUUAUGCAGAUUUUGUACUUCCUAACCUCUGAUACCACAGAAGCCAAUUCCAUAAAGUAAACCUCCCCCCACCUCUGGACAAUAAUAUCCUCCAUUUCUCUGGACUUUAAUAUCCAGAUUUUCUUUAGAAAAUUUGAGAAUGAUUGGUGUGAAUUUUUCUAAGUGACUGCUGACAAUUUACGGAGGAAGAAAAUUAAUCAUUUGUAAUAGUUGCUAAGAUUUUUGAUUACUUAUACUGACAUCUAUAUAUCUUUAGAUGUUAUACAUCUUCUGAGUCACUAUUGUUAAUUUGUCAUCAAUUUAUAUUAUUUGUUGGGUAAGAUUAUCAUACUACACUUAUCCUAAAUUUCUGCUGGAUCAGGAGUGAUAUCACACUAAUAAUAAAUUAAGUAUUUACAAUUUUAAUA
rnacentral:lncRNA from 1 species